rnacentral:rRNA from 1 species
CAAGUCAGGGAGUCAAAGGUGAUGGAUUGUCAGGAUGGCUAUGUGGAGAGAUGGAUACGCAUCGGUACUACCGGCGUUAUCUGCGGUUGCUUUCCUAAAAAUGGUGUUGGUCUUACUGACCAAGCAAUGUUGGCGACGGCUGCCUCACCGAGUAAGAUCGACGAGGAGAGACCGUCACCGAAAAACUCCCACGACCAAGGUGAUUAUACUGAUCAAGUCAGGGAGUCAAAGGUGAUGGAUUGUC